GAGGAAUUCGGAGGAGCAGAAGUUCGGCGAGGGCUGCCAGCGGUAGAGCGACGGGCUGCUGGAGUGGAUUCACCUCACCCUAGCUGGUGAUCCUCGUCGACCAGCACCAGCGCGAAUGGGACGCCCUCCGUCCCCUGGUCCAGUGGGCAUAUCGUGCAGCAGUGCAGAAAAGCACCAGCUACCCUCAUGUUAGGCUGGAAGAAGCUACAACCAGGAGAACGAGGAUUGCUAAUACGCCCUGUCGGGGCCAGGAAUCGGACAAAGGAUAAACAAAGAGCAUGCAAAAGAAUAUGAAGAAAGAGGGCGUGCAAAGUAAGAACUGCUAUUUCAGAGAUGGAGGAGAAGAGAAAGCCACGCAGUUCAGCUCUGCUGUCUCACUGGUCUGCAGUGACAGGGCUGACUGAGCAGAAUCCUGCCCACCGUUCACAAAACUGCAGCUCCAUAAUGCUUCAGAAGGAAAUGAUUCCCUCUUCAACGCCAGCUGCAGCCAUUUUACUUGGUCAGCCAUCUUCUCUUUUCAUAUCGCCAUGCAUAAUAACUUCUGCCAAACACUUCCUCCACCAGUAUAAACUCAAAUAUCAGUUUUCUCUCCACCCGGGCAAACCCCUUCACUCACAAGUCAUGUCACACCUUUUUUGUUACACACAGACUUGUGCUCAUUUGACUUGGGUCAUUCCGAUUUGCUGCCUGGAUCU